CUUGAACCCUAUAAGAGGUCCAGCCUGCCCAGUGAAACAAUUCAACGGCCGCGGUAUCCUAACCGUGCGAAGGUAGCGUAAUCACUUGUUCUCUAAAUCAGGACUAGUAUGAACGGCAUCACGAGGGUUAUACUGUCUCCUUUUUCCAAUUAGUGAAUUUAAUUUUCCCGUGAAGAAGCGGGAAUAAACCUAUAAGACGAGAAGACCCUAUGGAGCUUUAAACAAUCUAGCAUUUGUCUAUAUUUUUCAUGUUUCAGAACUCUCUAGACCUCAUACAUAAUGACUAGAAGUUUUAGGUUGGGGUGACCGCGGAGUAAAACCCAUCCUCCAUAAUGAAAGAAUUUUGAUUCUUAACCAAGAAGUACCUAUCUAAGUAUUAAUACAUUAACAUUUAUUGACCCAAUAUAAUUGAUCAACGAAC
rnacentral:rRNA from 2 species